AUUGAACGCUGGCGGCAUGCUUUACACAUGCAAGUCGAACGGCAGCGCGGGCUUCGGCCUGGCGGCGAGUGGCGAACGGGUGAGUAAUACAUCGGAACGUGCCCAGUAGUGGGGGAUAGCUCGGCGAAAGCCGGAUUAAUACCGCAUACGACCUGAGGGUGAAAGCGGGGGAUCUUCGGACCUCGCGCUAUUGGAGGGGCCGAUGGCAGAUUAGCUAGUUGGUGGGGUAAAGGCCUACCAAGGCGACGAUCUGUAGCUGGUCUGAGAGGACGACCAGCCACACUGGAACUGAGACACGGCCCAGACUCCUACGGGAGGCAGCAGUGGGGAAUUUUGGACAAUGGGCGAAAGCCUGAUCCAGCAAUGCCGCGUGUGUGAUGAAGGCCUUCGGGUUGUAAAGCACUUUUGGCGGGAACGAAAAGGACUGUGCCAAUACCACGGUUCGAUGACGUUACCCGCAGAAUAAGCACCGGCUAACUACGUG
rnacentral:rRNA from 1 species